rnacentral:rRNA from 1 species
GGGCUUCGCAGGCGGUUUUUUAAGUCUGAUGUGAAAGCCCCCGGCUCAACCGGGGAGGGUCAUUGGAAACUGGGAAACUUGAGUGCAGAAGAGGAGAGUGGAAUUCCACGUGUAGCGGUGAAAUGCGUAGAGAUGUGGAGGAACACCAGUGGCGAAGGCGACUCUCUGGUCUGUAACUGACGCUGAGGAGCGAAAGCGUGGGGAGCGAACAGGAUUAGAUACCCUGGUAGUCCACGCCGUAAACGAUGAGUGCUAAGUGUUAGGGGGUUUCCGCCCCUUAGUGCUGCAGCUAACGCAUUAAGCACUCCGCCUGGGGAGUACGGUCGCAAGACUGAAACUCAAAGGAAUUGACGGGGGCCCGCACAAGCGGUGGAGCAUGUGGUUUAAUUCGAAGCAACGCGAAGAACCUUACCAGGUCUUGACAUCCUCUGACAACCCUAGAGAUAGGGCUUUCCCUUCGGGGACAGAGUGACAGGUGGUGCAUGGUUGUCGUCAGCUCGUGUCGUGAGAUGUUGGGUUAAGUCCCGCAACGAGCGCAACCCUUGAUCUUAGUUGCCAGCAUUCAGUUGGGCACUCUAAGGUGACUGCCGGUGACAAACCGGAGGAAGGUGGGGAUGACGUCAAAUCAUCAUGCCCCUUAUGACCUGGGCUACACACGUGCUACAAUGGACAGAACAAAGGGCUGCAAGACCGCAAGGUUUAGCCAAUCCCAUAAAUCUGUUCUC